AGUGAACGCUGGCGGUAGGCCUAGCACAUGCAAGUCGAACGGCAGCACAGUAAGAGCUUGCUCUUACGGGUGGCGAGUGGCGUACGGGUGAGGAAUAUAUCGGAAUCUACUUUUUCGUGGGGGAUAACGUAGGGAAACUUACGCUAAUACCGCAUACGACCUACGGGUGAAAGCAGGGGAUCUUCUGACCUUGCGCGAUUGAAUGAGCCGAUGUCGGAUUAGCUAGUUGGCGGGGUAAAGGCCCACCAAGUCGACGAUCCGUAGCUGGUCUGAGAGGAUGAUCGGCCACAUUGGAACUUGGACACGGUCCAGGCUCCUACGGGAGGCAGCAGUGGGGAAUAUUGGACAAUGGGCGCAAGUCUGACCCAGCCAUACCGCGUCGGUGAAUAAGGCCUUCGGGUUGUAAAGACCUUUUGUUGGGAAAGAAAAGCAGCCGGUUAAUACCCCGCUGUUCUGACGGUACCCAAAGAAUAAGCACCGGCUAACUUCGUG
rnacentral:rRNA from 1 species